GAUGAAGAACGUAGCGAAAUGCGAUACGUAAUGUGAAUUGCAGAAUUCAGUGAAUCAUCGAAUCUUUGAACGCAUAUUGCGCUCUCUGGUAUUCCGGAGAGCAUGCUUGUUUGAGUAUCAGUAAACACCUCAACUCUUUUUUCUUUUUUGAAAUUGGAGCUGGACUUGAGUGAUCCCAACGCUUUCUUCCAAGAAAGUGGCGGGUUGCUUGAAAUGCAGGUGCAGCUGAACUUUUCUCUGAGCUAUAAGCAUAUCUAUUUAGUCUGCCUAAAAAACAGAUUAUUACCUUUGCUGCAGCUAACAUAAAGGAGACUAGUUCUUGUGCUGACUGAUGCAGGAUUCACAGAGACAGCUUCGGCUGACUUUGUAAACUCGAUCUCAAAUCAAGUAAGACUACCCGCUGAACUUAAGCAUAUCAAUAAGCGGAGGA
rnacentral:misc_RNA from 1 species